UUUCCGUACUGGCACCGCCCCCAAGUCUCCUCAAGGAAGCCAGGGACGCCACUUCCGGUGCGCGUGCGGCUCGUGCGGUCCCUGCCCAGGUCUUGGGUGACGGACCCUAGUUUCGGGGUCGGUGUUCUGUGCUUUUCUCGGCUGCGGUAGCUGCCAGGCGUGUCCCCACGCCGCGGGCACGUUUCUCGGGCGCCCCGUGGUCGUCCGAGGCUCCUGUCCACCAUUCGGAAUUCGGUGCCCGAGACCUCUGCGGAAGCUGCUGGGGAAGUGGAGAAAGCAGUCCGUGCCGUCCGCUUUAUACUGACCACAUGUUGAAAUGGCUCUUGAGUUCGUUGGGCUGAAUAAUAAAAAGGUUUGGCUUCUGUGAAUCAGCCUUUCCAUUACGUACGAGAGUCA
rnacentral:lncRNA from 1 species